GACGAACGCUGGCGGCGUGCUUAACACAUGCAAGUCGAACGGAAAGGCCCUGCUUUUGUGGGGUGCUCGAGUGGCGAACGGGUGAGUAACACGUGAGUAACCUGCCCUUGACUUUGGGAUAACUUCAGGAAACUGGGGCUAAUACCGGAUAGGAGCUCCUGCUGCAUGGUGGGGGUUGGAAAGUUUCGGCGGUUGGGGAUGGACUCGCGGCUUAUCAGCUUGUUGGUGGGGUAGUGGCUUACCAAGGCUUUGACGGGUAGCCGGCCUGAGAGGGUGACCGGCCACAUUGGGACGGAGAACGGGCCAAAACCCCGCCGGGAGGAAGAGGGGGGGAAUAUGGCAAAAGGGGCGAAACCCGGAGCAAGAAACGCCGGGUGGGGGAAGAGGGCCUUCGGGUGGAAAACCGCUUUCCCCGGGGACGAAGGGGGGGGGACGGUAAUGGGUAAAGAAGCACCGGCUAACUACGG
rnacentral:rRNA from 1 species